CCCACAGGAGGCUAUUUUGAAUAACUCGAAAUGAAACGAAACAAAACAAAACGCAACGCAACAAAACGCAACAAUGCUUUCGCUUCACUGAGACGGAUGUGCAGCGUUUUUAGGGUUCAUUGCGUUCACCUCAUCGAACCGCACAAGAUGUUCGUUCACAUGACUCGGCAGUCCCAAAAAAUGCAAGACAAUUAAACAAAUUAACAAAACAACGGAGCAGAGUGCACGGCUGGGCCAGCUUAGAGCAAUUUUACACAUGAGAAAAUCGAAGAGCAUCGCCGACCAUUAGCCAUUAACUCGAAAAACCCUCCUCCAGUUCUUCAUCCAACUCAUUUCUGGCCGAACUGCGCGGGUGUUUCCCAACUGUCAGCUGUUUGUUAGGGAAGUUCAAGUUGAACCUGCCCAGCCAUUUGAACCCUUUCGCCGCUCACAUGCUCACAUAGUCACAUGCUCACAUGGUCACAUGUGUGUGCGUCUAAUUUCAUGGCUGUUAGCCGAAAGGGCCAGGUCCAAAAGGUCGCGCAAGACAGGCAUUUAGUAUGCACGUUCCCCUAACGUCUGGCUGGCUGCCCCCCGAAAAGUCUCCUUUUCCUCAGGAACAACGACUUUUAUUAUUGACAUCAAACGACCAGUGCACGAAUGAUGACCCCAGAGGAAAUGUGACCCCCGAAAAGGGUUGAGAGUGACAUGGAAGCGGGAAUACUCUAUCCACUAUUUUUGCAACUGAACGAUGUAACUAGUACUAAUAUACCAAUUUAGUGGUUAAUCACAGUGUACUUGUAUAUACAUACAUCUUUAAAAGAGAACAAAUAAAUUAUUCAGUUUUGAAUUAAGUAA